CAAUGCCGCGUGUGUGAAGAAGGCCUAUGGGUUGUAAAGCACUUUCAGUGGGGAGGAGGAUUUGGAGAUUAAGAGUCACCAAAUUGGACGUUACCCACAGAAGAAGCACCGGCUAACUCCGUGCCAGCAGCCGCGGUAAUACGGAGGGUGCGAGCGUUAAUCGGAAUUACUGGGCGUAAAGGGUGCGUAGGUGGUUUGAUAAGUUGGCUGUGAAAUUCCCGGGCUUAACCUGGGGCGGUCAGCCAAGACUGUCAGACUGGAGUAUAGGAGAGGGCAGUGGAAUUUCCGGUGUAGCGGUGAAAUGCGUAGAGAUCGGAAGGAACACCAGUGGCGAAGGCGUCUGCCUGGCCUAAUACUGACACUGAGGCACGAAAGCGUGGGUAGCAAACAGGAUUAGAUACCCUGGUAGUCCACGCCGUAAACGAUGUCAACUAGCUGUUGGGUGCAUAGAGGUACUUAGUGGCGAAGCUAACGCGAUAAGUUGACCGCCUGGGGAGU
rnacentral:rRNA from 1 species